CAGAUACACAGAGAUAAUUUUAUAAUUACCUUUAUCUUAAAGGAUAACACAUUUAAUGAUCAGGUUGUAAGCAGAUAUCAAUGAUCAUUUAGUUUAAAUCUGUAUCUUAGGAUUGUCUGUACUUCCUGUUCUGUUCUACUAGAUGGAGUUAUAUUUAGACUGCUGUGUGGUUUUCUACUGAUAGUCAGUUCAUCGACCGACACCAGGCCAGGCUAAAUGAGCACGAGCGACAAACCUUUUGACCUCUUUUGCUGAGCCAGACUUUAGCUGCCAGGUCUGUGAAGUAAACCCAACACGGAAGUGUCUUAAACCUGCAUUCUCUUUAACAGCCAACAGGGGGCAGCUCCACUCUGAUAGUAUUCAGAAUCAGAAAUACAUUAAUAAUCCCAGGGGGAAAUGAUUAUUUAUUGAGUCUUAUAGAGAAUUUAUGAGCUCAGUAAACAGUUUCCUGAUGAGUUUCUGGUCUCAGUCUCUAGUUUCAGUCUUCUUCCAUACAGCAUGAUGUUCAUUUAGUAACUGAUGGUCCCAUUUAGAGUAAAAUAGACCAUAAAGCAGGGUAUGCUUUAGGGCGGGGCUACCUUGUGAUUGACAGCUCAUUCUCGGUGAGUCCGUCCAGCUCAAUGAAACAAAAAAAACACACUAAGAAUACACUAAAGCCAUGAAAAAUACACCAGGCAAGCAGAAGUGUGUGUGGAUGGUUCAGGUGUGUAUGGAUGGGUCAGGUGUGUAUGGAUGGCUCAGGUGUGUAUGGAUGGUCAGGUGUGUAUGGAUGGGUCAGGUGUGUAUGGAUGGUCAGGUGUGUAUGGAUGGGUCAGGUGUGUAUGGAUGGUCAGGUGUGUAUGGAUGGUCAGGUGUGUAUGGAUGGGUCAGGUGUGUAUGGAUGGGUCAGGUGUGUAUGGAUGGGUCAGGUGUGUAUGGAUGGUCAGGUGUGUAUGGAUGGGUCAGGUGUGUAUGGAUGGGUCAGGUGUGUAUGGAUGGGUCAGGUGUGUAUGGAUGGGUCAGGUGUGUAUGGAUGGUCAGGUGUGUAUGGAUGGUCAGGUGUGUAUGGAUGGGUCAGGUGUGUCGGUUGCUUUCUGUCUGUUUAGCUC